UCUCAGGGAUGUUUGUCAAACCUGUGUGUGUGUAUACGUCCAACCUCAGGAGGACUAAUUAGGGAGACUUGGCCGGGACUGUCUCUGACUGGCCACAUCAAAGAGACGACAGGACAGGACGAAGGAAUAUUUAAGGAAACGGAAAUGGUGCUGUGUUGAUCAUCCGCUGAGGAACGUUGCAAUUAUGGUGGCUGAGAGGGCAAUGGUCAGCCUCUAGUGUCGCUGUAAUCAAAUGUGACGCCCAUCCAUGGACACACCUGCCAUCGAAGUCCUAAUGAAAACAUUUCCAGCACUAAAUGAUGUAGACACUCCAGAGUCAACUUUCUCCUCUCUGACAGCCCCGAGGGGGACAUGGUGUGAAUGGCAACCCUGAUGGAAGACAGAGGACACACUCAAAUCAGCCGAGGGUCACUGCACUGCUGCUGGAUCGCCAGAUUGGAGGGGAAUUUGUCACGGAAUGUAACAGUAUUUUAGCCUUUUCACUUUUGCACCUGACCCAGGUGCAUGGGUUAGUCCUAAGCCAUAUUUUUCAAGCGUCAGCUUGGCCUUUUAAAAUUAUAGACUGGGAGGACCUGAUCCUCGAUCAGCAAACUACUCUAAGAUACUUGAUAACACUUCUUCAAACACUUCUUCAAGCCCAAAUAGCCUAUCAUUGCUUCCUGUACAACCUGCAGACACCGAAUCACUGUCAGAAGAACAAUACUAUGAAUGGGUGAAAUGAUUGCCCAUUCUUAGCAUGGUGCUGGCAGUAGUAUCUAUCUCACAGACACUUCAAUGACACCGGCAGUCUGGCCCUCCAUGAGAGAAGUGAGCUCGUCCCUCUCUUUCACACAGUAGUGCAUGUGUGAUGGAGGCCGACAGCUGGCCUGAUCAUUAUGUGUACAUAAAUUAGAGCAUCUCUCACUUCUACUGUCUGUUUGAGAGAGAGACAGAGAGAGAGACAGAGAGAGAGAGAGACAGAGAGAGAGAGACAGAGAUAUAUAUAUUUAUAAUAUGACAUUUGUAAUGUCUUUACUGUUUUGAAACUGUUGUAUGUGUAAUGUUUACUGUUAAUUUUUGUUGUUUUUCACUUUAUAUAUUCACUUUGUAUGUUGUCUAUCUCACUUGCUUUGGCAAUGUUAACACAUGUUUCCCAUGCCAAUAAAGCCCUUGAAUUGAAUUGAAUUGAAUUGAGAGAGAGAGACACAGAGAGAGAGAGAGAGAGAGAGAGACAGAGAGAGAGAGAGAUACAGAGAGAGAGAGAGAGAGAGAGAGAGAGAGAGAGAGAGAGAGAGAGAGAGAGAGAGAGAGAGAGAGAGAGAGAGAGAGAGAGAGAGAGAGAGAGAGACACAGAGAGAGAGAGAGAGAGAGACACACAGAGAGAGAGAGAGAGAUACAGAGAGAGAGAGAGA